CCCUGUCGCCAGGUGGCCUCCCUUUGUCCACGCCAUUGUAACACGUGUGUCGCCCCGGAUGUAAGGGCCGUGCUGAUUUGACGUCAUCCCCGCCUUCCUCGCAGCUUACGCUGGCAGUCCCACCAGAGUCCUCAGCCUAACCUGUUAGUAACUAGUGGCAAGGGUUGCGCUCGUUAUGGCACUUAAGCCGACACCUCACGGCACGAGCUGACGACAACCAUGCAGCACCUCGCAAACGGCUAUUGCUAGAAAAGGUGUUUCCACCUCGGUCCGAAUGCGUUCAAACCCGGGUAAGGUUCCUCGCGUAUCAUCGAAUUAAACCACAUGUUCCUCCGCUUGUGCGGGCCCCCGUCAAUUCCUUUGAGUUUCACCGUUGCCGGCGUACUCCCCAGGUGGAUCACUUAACGCUUUCGCUGUGCCGCUUACAGUGUAUCGCAAACAGCUAGUGAUCAUCGUUUACUGCGUGGACUACCAGGGUAUCUAAUCCUGUUUGAUCCCCACGCUUUCGUGCAUCAGCGUCAGUAAUGGCUUGGCAGGCUGCCUUCGCAAUCGGGGUUCUGCGUGAUAUCUAUGCAUUUCACCGCUACACCACGCAUUCCGCCUGCCUCAAACAUACUCAAGCCCCCCAGUUUCAACGGCNAAUUCUAUGGUUGAGCCACAGACUUUCACCGCUGACUUAAAAGGCCGCCUACGCACCCUUUAAACCCAAUAAAUCCGGAUAACGCUCGGAUCCUCCGUAUUACCGCGGCUGCUGGCACGGAGUUAGCCGAUCCUUAUUCAUAAGGUACAUACAAAACGGGACACGUCCCGCACUUUAUUCCCUUAUAAAAGAGGUUUACGAUCCAUAGAACCUUCAUCCCUCACGCGACUUGGCUGGUUCAGCCUCUCGGCCAUUGACCAAUAUUCCUCACUGCUGCCUCCCGUAGGAGUUUGGUCCGUGUCUCAGUACCAAUGUGGGGGACCUUCCUCUCAGAACCCCUAUCCAUCGUCGGUUUGGUGGGCCGUUACCCCGCCAACUGCCUAAUGGAACGCAUGCCUAUCUAUCAGCGAUGAAUCUUUAGCAAAUAUUCCCAUGCGGGAUCCCUGCUUCAUGCGGUAUUAG
rnacentral:rRNA from 1 species